CCCCUCUGCCAAUGGGCAAGGAGACACCUUGUUGGUUGUGCUGUUCUUAUACCAGUCAGGGGCAGAACAAAUGGCAGUCCUUUAUUCAUCCUAACUUGAUGUCUGGCUGUUUUAUACUUAGGUCACAUAG
rnacentral:snoRNA from 1 species